AAAAAUAUAAACAAAGUCAUUAAGAGAAAAAUUGAAGUGUUCAAUGAUCAACUUUUCUCUCCAAGGUACAAUUUGAUAUCUUUAUAUAUAAAAGAAAGGUUUUACCUCGAAACCCUAACCCCAUUUUAGUGAAAUAUUUGUUGCCCUAAAACGUAUUUUUGUCUAUUUACUUGAAAGUUAUUAUUAUUAAAAAAAUAUUUUUUUGCACAAUUUCUAGAUUACACUACACGAUUACAUAUUAAAGAAAAAACACGAUAAAAUAUAUACCCACAAUGUUAAAACCGCCAAUUUCCAUUUCCAUUGUUCCUCAAUUCUCGCCAUUAUCGGCAUAUAUGUAAGCAUGGUUAGCCAGAACGGCGUGGGAAACGGCCGGAACGGCCGUUCUGAAAGGGGAACGGUGCUCUCCAUUCCGGAAUUCGUAACCAGAACGGUGUUUUCACUGGGAUUCAUCGGUACGCCGAGAAAUCAGAGGGAUGGGCAAGACGGAGCCACGGAAUGGACCCGACACGGCCGGAACGGUGCCGGAACGGCGCCGGAACAGUAGAAAUAAUAUGAAAAAAAUAUAAUUUGACUAAAAAAAAAGGAAAAAAUGACUAAUUUAACUGAAAAAAAUAUGGAAAAAUAAUAUAAUUAACUUUUUUGUAAUGGCUCGUGACUUUUCUAAUGUUCUUGUUUUUACUGUUUGACUUGUUACUUGUGAAUUUUUUCUUGGAUUCUAAUAUUUUGUAUUAUGAUGAAUUUGAUUUUACUAUUGGGUGUUUAUUUUCACAUCAUCACAUGCACUCCUCUAGGCUAUAGCCUUUCACAUCCAUGUCUCCCACAAGCCACAGUUUCACUCAAUAAUAGAACUAAUAAUAAUACAGAUCGUGGAUUGAUAUGAUCAGCUUUUAUCUUCAAUACAUAAUAUAUAUAAAGAGGCAUUGCAGAAGCAUUGGAGGAUAGAGAGUAAAAGAGAAAAAUAUAAACAAAGUCAUUAAGAGAAAAAUUGAAGUGUUCAAUGAUCAACUUUUCUCUCCAAGGUACAAUUUGAUAUCUUUAUAUAUAAAAGAAAGGUUUUACCUCGAAACCCUAACCCCAUUUUAGUGAAAUAUUUGUUGCCCUAAAACGUAUUUUUGUCUAUUUACUUGAAAGUUAUUAUUAUUAAAAAAAUAUUUUUUUGCACAAUUUCUAGAUUACACUACACGAUUACAUAUUAAAGAAAAAACACGAUAAAAUAUAUACCCACAAUGUUAAAACCGCCAAUUUCCGUUUCCAUUGUUCAUCAAUUCUCGCCAUUAUCGGCAUAUAUGUAAGCAUGGUUAGCCGGAACGGCGUGGGAAACGGCCGGAACGGCCGUUCUGAAAGGGGAACAGUGCCCUCCGUUCCGGAAUCCGUAACCAGAACGGUGUUUUCACUGGGAUUCAUCGGAACGCCGAGAAAUCGGAGGGAUGGGCAAGACGGAGCCACGGAAUGGACCCGACACGGCCGGAACGGUGCCGGAACGGCGCUGGAACAGUAGAAAUAAUAUGAAAAAAAAACAUAAUUUGACUAAAAAAAAUAAAAAAUGACUAAUUUGAUUAACUUUUUUGUAAUGGCUCGUGACUUCUCUACUGUUCUUUUUUUUACUGUUUGACUUGUGACUUGUGAAUUAUUUCUUGGAUUCUAAUAUUUUGUAUUAUGAUGAAUAUUAUUUUACUAUUGGGUGCAGAUUUUCACAUCAUCACAUGCACUACUCUAGGCUAUAGCCUUUCACAUCCAUGUCUCCCACAAGCCACAGUUUCACUCUAUAAUAGAACUAAUAGUAAUACAGAUCGUGGAUUGAUAUCAGCUUUUAUCUUCAAUACAAAAUAUAUAUAGAGAGGCAUUGCAGAGGCAUUGGAGGAUCGAGAGUAAAAGAGAAAAAUAUAAACAAAGUCAUGAAGAAAAAAAUUGAAGUGUUCAAUCAUCAACUCUUCUUUCCAAGGUACAAUUUGAUAUGUUUGUUGUUUUUUAAUUUAUAAUUUUAUACGUCGCUAAAAGAUUGUAGUGCAUAAUUUAAUAUUGAUAGUCAUAUUGUUUUCGUAAUUUAUAAUUUAAUAUAGAAUAUUUAUAGUGAUAUAGUUUUCGUAAUUUAAAAUUUAAUAUAGAAUAUAGAUAGUAUGAAGAACGAAUAAUUGUAAUAAUAUUUUGCAUAUUAUUGUAUUGUAAUAUCGUUAUUAAAAACAUAUUUGAAAUAUAUUGUAUUUCUUUAGUAAUUAAAUUAAAAUGUGUCAUUUCCGGUCGCGACGUUGCAAUGGAACUGGAACGGCAAUGUCCGCGACAAUGCAUUGUUCCGUUCCGGCGAACCAUGUAUGUAAGUCUCAGAAUAACUCCCCAUUUUUCCACUCAUAAAAUUUGUUUUCCUAUUCUCUUUAUAUUUCUUCGCCGUUGUCAACGUUGGCUGCAAUUUUAAUACUACAUAAUCGCAAUGAAGAAAUGGUUAGUGAUCUUUCAGUUUUAGAAUUCAUUUUGCGUGCUCUGAAUUCCUAAAUCGAUCAAUGUUUAGAUUUUUGUUUUUGGGUUUUAUGAAAGUUACCCUUUAAUAAUAGGUUUGGAAUAUAUUUUUUUCUUUAUUUUGUUGAAAUUUCAUUUUAACAACGAUGUUUAUCAACAGUCAGUCUCACAUGCUAUAAUUAAAAAAGUAGAUGUAUAAUUCUUCAAAUUUCCGUGGAGUGUUGUAUGAAAACUGUUAAUUAUUAGUUUUGUUUAGUACACUUCUUAGACAACUUUUUAGCAAUUUUAUUUUUUUAAAUGUUCAUGAUAUUUAGGGAAUCAACUGUGACAUGUGGGGAAUCAAUUGAUGAGUAGUUAUUUGUUCUUUCUAUAAGAAAAGGAAUCGAAAUGUUUGAAGUUGUUGCUAUUUUAUUUGGUGUCACUGUAACAUAUGUUUUUCGUACACCAUGGUCAUAUACUCAUUAUUUUCAGCAAAAAAAAAAAAGAAGUUUUACUAUUUUCUCUAAUAUCUGAUGAUAUAUACAAUAAUCAGAAAAUAAGAAAUCUCACAACAAGUAUAUUAAUAUUGUUUUUCUCUGUUUUUUCACAGGUUUACCUGGUGAUGAGAAUGUCUUUUUGCUUCUUUUAACAGUUUUGUUUAGAGUUGUAUUAGUUUUGUAUUUGGAGGUGUUUUAUGAAGAUUGCUGCUAUCUUGAGAAUUUGGGAUGGCAAAAAAGAAAUCAAAAGCAAGAAGAUUCAUCUCUAGACUGCUCCAUUACAGAAACGAUAAUUGGUGCAUUUAGUUGGGUGCUCACAUGAAUUAGUUGCUGAUGAAUCGAACAUGAGGACGAGACAACAUGGUAUUAAUAUUAUACUAUAAUGAUUAAUAACAAAUGUUUUCUGAUUGGCAAUGUAGUUUUCUUUUCUCCACCCCUCUAAGAUUACUACAUUUCCACAUUUUUCUUUGUUAUGUAUAUCUAUUUGCUCUAUCUGUUGAUAUUAGCAAUUCAUUUUGUAUAUUGAUGUUUUUGCUAUAGUCAUGUAUUAAAUUG
rnacentral:lncRNA from 1 species